rnacentral:misc_RNA from 1 species
GAUGAAGAACGUAGCGAAAUGCGAUAAGUAAUGUGAAUUGCAGAAUUCAGUGAAUCAUCGAAUCUUUGAACGCACCUUGCGCCCUUUGGCUAUUCCGAAGGGCAUGCCUGUUUGAGUAUCGUGAACACCUCAACUCUCAUGGUUUGCCAUGAUGAGCUUGGACUUGGGGGUUUUGCUGGCCUUCGGUCGGCUCCUCUCAAACGGAUCAGCUUUCCAGUGUUUGGUGGCGUCACGGGUGUGAUAACUAUCUACGCCUGUGGUUUUCUGCCAGAUAACCUUCAGCGAUGGAGGUUCGCUGGUGCUCAUAAAUGUCUCUCUUCAGUGGAGACAGCUUUUUGGACGUUUGAUCUCAAAUCAGGUAGGACUACCCGCUGAACUUAAGCAUAUCAAUAAGCGGAGGA